GAUGAACGCUGGCGGCGUGCCUAAUACAUGCAAGUCGAGCGAACAGAUGAGGAGCUUGCUCCUCUGACGUUAGCGGCGGACGGGUGAGUAACACGUGGAUAACCUACCUAUAAGACUGGGAUAACUUCGGGAAACCGGAGCUAAUACCGGAUAAUAUAUUGAACCGCAUGGUUCAAUAGUGAAAGACGGUUUUGCUGUCACUUAUAGAUGGAUCCGCGCCGCAUUAGCUAGUUGGUAAGGUAACGGCUUACCAAGGCAACGAUGCGUAGCCGACCUGAGAGGGUGGUCGGCCACACUGGAAGUGAGACACGGUCCAGACUCCUACGGUAGGAAGCAGUAGGGAAUCUUCCGCAAUGGGCGAGAGCCUGACGGAGCAACGCCGCGUGAGUGAUGAAGGUGUUCGGAUCGUAAAACUCUGUUAUUAGGGAAGAACAAAUGUGUAAGUAACUAUGCACGUCUUGACGGUACCUAAUCAGAAAGCCACGGCUAACUACGUG
rnacentral:rRNA from 1 species